UAAGAGGUAGUAUAGGAGGUAGUACUGGAAGUUUUGAGCUUCCUGGGUUAGGUUCAAAACCUAAGCUCUUA
rnacentral:tRNA from 1 species